CCUACGGGCGGCUGCAGUGGGGAAUAUUGGACAAUGGGGGGAACCCUGAUCCAGCCAUGCCGCGUGUGUGAAGAAGGCCCUCGGGUUGUAAAGCACUUUCAGUGAGGAAGAACGCCUGGUGGUUAAUACCCAUCAGGAAAGACAUCACUCACAGAAGAAGCACCGGCUAACUCCGUGCCAGCAGCCGCGGUAAUACGGAGGGUGCGAGCGUUAAUCGGAAUUACUGGGCGUAAAGCGCGCGUAGGUGGCUUGAUAAGCCGGUUGUGAAAGCCCCGGGCUCAACCUGGGAACGGCAUCCGGAACUGUCAAGCUAGAGUGCAGGAGAGGAAGGUAGUAUUCCCGGUGUAGCGGUGAAAUGCGUAGAGAUCGGGAGGAAUACCAGUGGCGAAGGCGGCCUUCUGGACUGACACUGACACUGAGGUGCGAGAGCGUGGGUAGCAAACAGGAUUAGAUACCCUUGUAGUC
rnacentral:rRNA from 1 species